UCCGAACCAUCAAAUAUUCUUUGGUACAAGAUUUCUCAAUGAAUCAAAAUCUAGUUCUUGAUUGGGAAAUCAGUCUUAUCCGAUCAAACAUUUGGGCGUACCUCCAAAUGGUUUGUACUGAAAAUGUUUACACGAUUCUAGUUUCAAUCCAAGUUAUUUAUUUAUUUUGUUGAUAGGGUACGAGACUAUGAGAGUCUCAUGAACAGGUCUAUAUGCGAUGUUUACGGGAUCAAAUCGGUACGUUUUCUAACAUAUUCCCAACAAAGAACAAACCAUUAUUAAGAUUUGAUUACUGUUAAAACUUGGUGUUGUUCGAUGGUUGUUUUCAAUGUUAUUGGAUUAGUAAAUCAAAAUGAAUCGAUGGUUCUUUCCUGUUUGAUUGCACGCAUGAAACAAAUAAAGAUUCUCAUUUAUUUGUUUGUGUACGUUAUAUGCACGUCAUUUUGUACAUCAAAUUGUAAAUCAAUUCCAUUGAGAUUGAUGUAUAUAAAUUUUAUAAUAUUAAAAGUUUUAAAACUCCGGUUAAUGGCCUGAGAUUAAUUGGACAUUUGGGUACGGUGUUAACUCUUUCAAAUCUUUUGGACAUUAAUUGGACAAUUUUGGUGUGUUUGGUUAUAUGGAUUUUCUGGGUUUAAAUAUACAAUCAAAAUUGUUGGCAUUCAGAUAUUUGGAUAUUGUCUCUAUUCACUAGAUUGUAUUUGAUUCGAUGAUUAUAGUCGGAUUGGGUUUAAUUUAGUGUUUGACACUUUAAUUUCGAGCGAUAUUAAUUUGUACCCGGAACAAACAAGUUUACACUGCAUCUUUUUGGUUAUACUAAAUGGCAAACUAUAGUUUGGGCACACUUUUAAAAUUGUUUGAAAUCUCUUAACAAAGUGUUUGACACAUUUUGUGGUUUACUUCGGAAAGAUGAUCAAUAUAUAUAGGCCUUAUGCAUGCUUGGAUUUUAAUUAUUUUAAAUCCACUAAUGCUCUAAAUUUGUUCCAAUUGAUACGAGCGAGUCGUUUCAUGGUGUGUGAAAUAUGUUUGCCGAACUUGAAAGUAUGAGGGACCAGAUUUUGAUGUUGGAAAGCGAAGAUAGCGAAGAUGUACUUUUCUUCAUGAUUUUAAAGUAGAAGCCGCUUCAAAAAAUACAAUAGAAGGAUGUCGAGCCUUCACUUGAGAGAAAGAAAGAAUACCCAGCGAAGCUAAGGAAAGGAUGGGGAGAGAGAAUCGGGCCUAGAGAAGAGAGGUACGAAUCCAGCUAAGCUUCGAUGGGAUUCUCACCUAAGACCAUUCUUAAGGGUGGGUGAAGAAGGAAGGUGAAAUAAGAAGGUGAAGUAGGUUAACGGUUAAGGGGUAUAGGUUAAAUGGGUAGGUGAUGAGAAGAAAGUGAUUAUGUUCACCUAUGGUUUUGUGGUCCCUAAUAAUUGUCUUUAUCUUAUUAUUUAGCUUCACUUUAUUUUGAUUGGUUAGAUUAUGAGUAUAGUGGGGUAAUAAUUUGAAGGUGAUUGGUUAAGAAGAAAAGUAAAAUGUGAAAAAAAUGGGAAGGUUAUACUUAUGUGACAAGAAAAAGUGUACGUGAAAAGGUGAACGGCUACAAAUGGUCUAAGCAACGAGCCUUCACAACCGGACAAAAGACGUGUGCACCCACAACGAAGCUUGGAGUGGGCCACAGCCUAACCUUAAGCGAGAUUAGAUGAGAGGGGCGACAGCAAACCUUUAAGUCUCCAAUUCUUUUAUGACUUAAUCGAAGCUAAGCUAAAUAUAUUUAUAUAAUAGUUGGAGUGGAGCCCAGCCGGACUUAAAGAUAAAAGGCGAAGUGUCAAGGGAGUUUGGCAGCGAAGUGUCAGCGAACUUUCCUUGUUGCGAAGCCUCACUUCGAUUAAGCUUUGCAGGAGAAGUGUUAAAGUGUCGCAUUGGAAUUCGGCGAGCCUACAUAAGAGUUGGGCCUGGCCCAAUCGUCGUGGUGAAAUCUCAAUGCAUAGUCACAGAAUACGCUCAAAAUCCUGUGUAUUGGUACAAAAUGUACGGAACGCAAUACGAAAACGUUCCGAACGAUGCGGGUACAUCGAACCGAGUUGAUAGGGUACUGUGAACCGAGUCGGCAGGGUACGACGAACUGAGUCAGUUCCAAUCGUCGACUUCUGUUUCGCAAUCACCGAAUUCAAUUCUUCGUUUUUUGGUCGGCGGACAUAGUGGUAUUCGAUGGGUGGUUGCCGGACAUCACUUUAGAAGAAGAAGAAUAGGAAGAGAAAUAGAAAUAUAUGAUAUAAUUAUAUGGAUUACCUGUGAUGAAAGAUCCAUCCCAUUAUUAAGAUUCACCAUCAGAGAAGUACCGUCAUGGCGCCAUGGAAGCAGAUGAAGGACCGCCGUAUCAUAAGUAACGAAGAGUGAAAAGCAGCCGCAUGUCUUUGUAUAUUAAAUAAUGAUAAUAAUCAAUAGUAUAUUAUAAUUAUUAAA